rnacentral:rRNA from 1 species
AUUUACAUUAAUUUUGAAUCUGUGCAAAUCAGUUUAGUUUGAGAUUAAAAUCUUAAUUUUAUUAUUUUUUUUUAUUUUUAGAAGAAAUAACUUUUUUUUUAGUAAUUUUUAUUGAACAGAUAUUUAAUUUUAUAUUUUAUUUUACUGUAAGGGAUUUUUUUAUUUAUAGUGAAGCAUAAUUUAAUUUAGUACCUUUUGUAUCAGGGUUUAUUAAAUAUAUAAAUUUAUAUUUUUUCCCGAAUUAAAAAGAUUUAGUAUAAAAUGUUUUUUAUUGUUAUAAAUAUAUAUAUAAUUUUAUACUAGUUGUUAUAUGCUUUUCAUUUUUUUAUAUCUGGUUACUUAAGAUUUAAAUUUAAUUUAUAUAUUUAGAGUUAAGUUUAAUUUAAUUAUUUUUAAUUCUUUUUAUUAAAAAACUUGGGGAUAAUCUCUUGUUUUAUUAUAUAAUAAUUGUUUUUUCAUUGUUAGUAGGUUUGACAACAUCUAUCUUUAUUUCGUUACAGUUAAUUUUGAAUUACUUUGAUUUUUUUUUAUUUAUGUAUAUAUUAAGUAUAAUAUUUUAAUUUAUAAUUUUUUGUUAUAAUGAUGGAAUUAGUAAUUUUGUUAAUUUAAUAAUAAGAACUCGGCAAAUUUAAUUUUCACCUGUUUAACAAAAACAUGGUUUUUUGAUUUUUAUAUAAAAUUAGGCCUGCCCACUGAUUUUUAUGAAUUUAAAGGCUGCGGUAUUUUAACUGUACGAAGGUAGCAUAAUCACUUGCCUUUUAAUUGGAGGCUGGAAUGAAUGGUUCAAUGAAAAAUUAACUUUCUUUAAUUAAUUAAUUUGAAUUUAAUUUUUUAGUUAAAAGGCUUAAAUUUUUUUAUAGGACGAGAAGACCCUAUAGAAUUUUAUUUAUAUUAUUUAUUUAAUUAAUUUGUAGUUACAUCUUAAAUAUUUAUAUUAAAUUUAAUUGGGGUGAUUGAAAAAUUUUUUUAACUUUUUAUUUAUGUUACAUUAAUUAUUGUUUUUUUGAUCCUAAAUUUUAGAUUAAAAGAUUAAAUUACCUUAGGGAUAACAGCGUAAUUUAUUCGGAGAGUUCUUAUCGAUGAUUAAGUUUGCGACCUCGAUGUUGAAUUAAGAUUAAUUUUUGGUGUAGAAGCUAAAUUUAUUAGGUUUGUUCAACCUUUAAAUUCUUACAUGAUUUGAGUUCAAACCGGCGUGAGCCAGGUUGGUUUCUAUCCUUAUUUUUUAUAUUCUAGUACGAAAGGACCGAGUAUAUUAAUUAUAAUUAUAUUAAUUGAUUAAUAUUAAAAAAAAAAAAAAAAAA